rnacentral:misc_RNA from 1 species
UCUGCAUUGUUUCAUGAAUCCCAUCAAGCACGGAAAUGAAAAACUCAUGAGCAUCCUGCUGUUCAUAACUUGCAAGAUUUGAUGCAUGCUUCCACCAGCUGUAGAGGAUCUUUGCUGGACUAAUAGGGAUCUGAUUGCCAGAGAAAACAGCAGAAAACAUUGCAUCCAAAUCACAAGCCAAACACAACACAGGGUUCUUGUUUG